GACGAACGCUGGCGGCGUGCUUAACACAUGCAAGUCGAACGGAAAGGCCCUGCUUUUGUGGGGUGCUCGAGUGGCGAACGGGUGAGUAACACGUGAGUAACCUGCCCUUGACUUUGGGAUAACUUCAGGAAACUGGGGCUAAUACCGGAUAGGAGCUCCUGCUGCAUGGUGGGGGUUGGAAAGUUUCGGCGGUUGGGGAUGGACUCGCGGCUUAUCAGCUUGUUGGUGGGGUAGUGGCUUACCAAGGCUUUGACGGGUAGCCGGCCUGAGAGGGUGACCGGCCACAAUGGGACUGAGAUACGGACCAGACUCCUACGGGAGGCAGCAGUGGGGAAUAUUGCACAAUGGGCGGAAGCCUGAUGCAGCAACGCCGCGUGCGGGAUGACGGCCUUCGGGUUGUAAACCGCUUUCGCCUGUGACGAAGAGUGAGUGACGGUAAUGGGUAAAGAAGCACCGGCUAACUACGUG
rnacentral:rRNA from 1 species